rnacentral:lncRNA from 1 species
GCAUGGCUAGGAGUGGCCGGUGGCUCAACUACACAUAGAGAGGCCAAGAGAGAAGGAAAAGGGCAUUGGCCCUUGUCACCUUAGUGGUGGCAUCCAAGGCCAAAGAGAAAAUAAAGGCAGCAACGAUGGGUCAUGGCUGGCGGUGAAGGACUCCAAUGGUAGAUAGUGUGAUAGAUCAUGAAUCAAGAGUAAAAAUAGAGCAUAUGGAG